CCUACGGGGGGCAGCAGUGGGGAAUAUUGCACAAUGGGGGAAACCCUGAUGCAGCGACGCCGCGUGAGUGAAGAAGUAUCUCGGUAUGUAAAGCUCUAUCAGCAGGGAAGAAAAUGACGGUACCUGACUAAGAAGCCCCGGCUAACUACGUGCCAGCAGCCGCGGUAAUACGUAGGGGGCAAGCGUUAUCCGGAUUUACUGGGUGUAAAGGGAGCGUAGACGGCGCUGCAAGUCCGGAGUGAAAGCCCAUGGCUUAACCAUGGUACUGCUCUGGAAACUGUGGAGCUUGAGUGCGGGAGGGGCAGGCGGAAUUCCUAGUGUAGCGGUGAAAUGCGUAGAUAUUAGGAGGAACACCGGCGGCGAAGGCGGCCUGCUGGACCGUAACUGACGUUGAGGCUCGAAAGCGUGGGGAGCAAACAGGAUUAGAUACCCUAGUAG
rnacentral:rRNA from 1 species